GAUGAACGCUGGCGGCGUGCCUAAUACAUGCAAGUCGAGCGAGCAGACGAGGAGCUUGCUCCUCUGACGUUAGCGGCGGACGGGUGAGUAACACGUGGAUAACCUACCUAUAAGACUGGGAUAACUUCGGGAAACCGGAGCUAAUACCGGAUAACAUGUUGAACCGCAUGGUUCAACAGUGAAAGACGGUCUUGCUGUCACUUAUAGAUGGAUCCGCGCCGCAUUAGCUAGUUGGUAAGGUAACGGCUUACCAAGGCAACGAUGCGUAGCCGACCUGAGAAGGUGAUCGGCCACACUGGAACUGAGACACGGUCCAGACUCCUACGGGAGGCAGCAGUAGGGAAUCUUCCGCAAUGGGCGAAAGCCUGACGGAGCAACGCCGCGUGAGUGAAGAAGGUCUUCGGAUCGUAAAACUCUGUUAUUAGGGAAGAACAAAUGUGUAAGUAACUAUGCACGUCUUGACGGUACCUAAUCAGAAAGCCACGGCUAACUACGUG
rnacentral:rRNA from 1 species